GAUGAACGCUGGCGGCGUGCUUAACACAUGCAAGUCGAACGGUAAAGGCGGAGCUUGCUCUGCUGGAUCAGUGGCGAACGGGUGAGUAACACGUGAGCAAUCUGCCCCUGACUCUGGGAUAAGCGCUGGAAACGGCGUCUAAUACUGGAUACGAGCUGCGACGGCAUCUUCAGCAGCUGGAAAGUAUUUCGGUCGGGGAUGAGCUCGCGGCCUAUCAGCUUGUUGGUGAGGUAAUGGCUCACCAAGGCGUCGACGGGUAGCCGGCCUGAGAGGGUGACCGGCCACAUUGGGACUGAGACACGGCCCAGACUCCUACGGGAGGCAGCAGUGGGGAAUAUUGCACAAUGGGCGAAAGCCUGAUGCAGCAACGCCGCGUGAGGGACGACGGCCUUCGGGUUGUAAACCGCUUUUAGCAGGGAAGAAGCGAGAGUGACGGUACUUGCAAAAAAAGCACCGGCUAACUACGUG
rnacentral:rRNA from 1 species